GUGUCUCUAUCAGAGUUUGAUCCUGGCUCAGGAUGAACGCUAGCUACAGGCUUAACACAUGCAAGUCGAGGGGCAGCAUGAAUAUUGGCUUGCCAAUAUUUGAUGGCGACCGGCGCACGGGUGAGUAACACGUAUCCAACCUUCCGGUUACUCGGGGAUAGGCUUUCGAAAGAAAGAUUAAUACCCGAUGUUGCGUAUCUUUCUCCUGAAAGAUACGCCAAAGGAUUCCGGUAACCGAUGGGGAUGCGUUCCAUUAGGCAGUUGGCGGGGUAACGGCCCACCAAACCUUCGAUGGAUAGGGGUUCUGAGAGGAAGGUCCCCCACAUUGGAACUGAGACACGGUCCAA
rnacentral:rRNA from 1 species